rnacentral:rRNA from 1 species
GACGAACGCUGGCGGCGUGCUUAACACAUGCAAGUUGAACGGUAAUCCAUGGAAGCUUGCUGAAGUGGAUUAUAGUAGCGGACGGGUGAGUAAUGCAUGAGAAGCUGCCAUUGGGAGGGGGACAACAGUUGGAAACGGCUGCUAAUACCCCGUAUGCCGGAAGGUGAAAGGGAUUAAUCCCGCCCGAUGAGGUGCUCAUGUCCUAUCAGCUGGUUGGUGAGGUAACGGCUCACCAAGGCGACGACGGGUAGCCGGCCUGAGAGGGUGAACGGCCACACUGGAACUGAGAUACGGUCCAGACUCCUACGGGAGGCAGCAGUGGGGAAUAUUGGGCAAUGGGGGCAACCCUGACCCAGCGACGCCGCGUGAGGGAAGAAGGCCUUCGGGUUGUAAACCUCUUUUGUAUGGGAAGAAGGACGUGACGGUACCAUACGAAUAAGUCCCGGCUAACUACGUG